rnacentral:rRNA from 1 species
UAACAUGAGAGUUUGAUCCUGGCUCAGGACGAACGCUGGCGGCGUGCCUAACACAUGCAAGUCGAGCGAAGUU